rnacentral:rRNA from 1 species
AGUGAACGCUGGCGGCAGGCCUAAUACAUACAAGUCGAACGGCAGCACAGUGGAGCUUGCUCCAUGGGUGGCGAGUGGCGGACGGGUGAGGAAUACGUGGGAAUCUGCCCAGUCGUGGGGGGAUAACGUAGGGAAACUUACGCUAAUACCGCAUGCGCCCUUCGGGGAAGCCGGGGACUCGGGCCUGCGCGAUUGGAUGAGCCCACGUCGGAUUAGCUAGUUGGCGGGGUAACGGCCCACCAAGGCGACGAUCCGUAGCUGGUCUGAGAGGAUGAUCAGCCACACUGGAACUGAGACACGGUCCAGACUCCUAUGGGAGGCAGCAGUAGGGAAUAUUGGACGAAUUGGGCGCAAGGCCUGAUCCAGCCAUGCCGCGUGAGUGAAGAAGGCCCUCGGGUUGUAAAGCUCUUUUGUCCGGAAAGAAAGCAUUCGGUUAAUACCCGGGUGUUCUGACGGUACCGGAAGAAUAAGCACCGGCUAACUUCGUGCCAGCAGCCGCGGUAAAGUCG